rnacentral:rRNA from 1 species
UACGAAGGGGGCUAGCGUUGUUCGGAAUUACUGGGCGUAAAGGGCGCGUAGGCUGUGCUGUAAGUCAGGCGUGAAAGCCCCGGGCUCAACCUGGGAAUUGCGCUUGAUACUGCGGCGCUGGAAGGUGGGAGAGGAUGGCGGAAUUCCAGGUGUAGCGGUGAAAUGCGUAGAGAUCCGGAGGAACACCAGAGGCGAAGGCGGCCUGCUGGGCUGCACCUGACGCUGAGCCGCGAAAGCCAGGGGAGCGAACGGG